CGGCUCUAGAGUUCCAUUUGUUGGUAGGGAGCAAGCUAUAUGCUUUUAUUUUGAAUGCAUAGCUGAGGUAUAAUUGAAUCUCUCAGAUAUACCUUGAAUUUUCUUCUUGUAAGUACCUACACAUGCUGUGAGGACGCUUGCCAAAGUCCUUGCAAAAUACUUCUGCUGACCACAAAUGAGGUGUGGAUUCAUGAGGGAAUGCCUGGGUUCCUUCAGGACGUGGUAUGAAUAUGCAAAUUAAUGUAGUGGUAGGUGGAGUAAAGCCUUUGGUUCUGGCUUUGAGUGAACUAUUUCAGCAAAGUCUUUGUUAUGUUUGGGUCCAUCAGUCGAGGCUGAGAAAUUGUUACGAGCCCGUU